GGGGUUGUAACUCAGUGGUAGAGUGCUUGCCUGGCAAGCAUGAGUCCCUACGCUUGCUUCCUAGCAUUUUUA
rnacentral:tRNA from 1 species